rnacentral:rRNA from 1 species
AACGAACGCUGGCGGCGUGCUUAACACAUGCAAGUCGAACGAGAAAGUUCCUUCGGGAAUGAGUACAGUGGCGAACGGGUGCGUAACACGUGAGAAUCUGCCCAUUAGUGAAGAAUACCCUGGAGAAAUUCAGGCUAAUACUGCAUAAUCCCUACGGGGGAAAGACGGCCUCUUGCUGUCGCUGAUGGAUGAGCUCGCGGACUAUUAGCUUGUUGGUGGGGUAAAAGCCUACCAAGGCGAUGAUGGUUAGCCGGCCUGAGAGGGUGACCGGCCACAUUGGGACUGAGAUACGGCCCAGACUCCUACGGGAGGCGGCAGUGGGGAAUAUUGCACAAUGGGGGAAACCCUGAUGCAGCGACGCCGCGUGAAGGAUGAAGGCCCUCGGGUCGUAAACUUCUGUACUAGGGGGAAGAAAAGCUCACGAAUAAUACGCGUGAGUAAUGACGGUACCUCUAGAGAAAGCUCCGGCUAACUUCGUGCCAGCAGCCGCGGUAAUACGAAGGGGGCGAGCGUUGUUCGGAAUCACUGGGCGUAAAGAGCGUGUAGGUGGCUAUUUAAGUCAGUUGUUAAAGACCACGGCCCAACUGUGGAAAGGCGAUUGAUACUGGAUAGCUGGAGGGCAGGAGAGAGAAGUGGAAUUCUCGGAGUAGCGGUAAAAUGCGUAGAUCUCGAGAGGAACACCAAUUGCGAAGGCAGCUUCUUGGCCUGUUCCUGACACUCAAACGCGAAAGCGUGGGGAGCAAACAGGAUUAGAUACCCUGGUAGUCCACGCCGUAAACGAUGAUCACUAGAUGUGGGUUGUGCUUGCACGAUCCGUGUCGAAGCUAACGCGUUAAGUGAUCCGCCUGGGGAGUACGGUCGCAAGACUAAAACUUAAAGGAAUUGACGGGGGUCCGCACAAGCGGUGGAACAUGUGGUUUAAUUCGACACUACGCGAGGAACCUUACCUGGGCUUGACAUAUAGUCGACCGCUCCAGAGAUGGAGCCUUCUAAGUUUACUUAGACGUCUAUACAGGUGCUGCAUGGCUGUCGUCAGCUCGUGUCGUGAGAUGUUAGGUUAAGUCCUUUAACGAGCGCAACCCCUGCCUCUAGUUGCCAUCCUUCGGAGGCACUCUAGCGGGACUGCCCGGGGAACCGGGAGGAAGGUGGGGACGAGGUCAAGUCCUCAUGGCCCUUAUGCCCAGGGCUACACACGUGUUACAAUGGCGAGUACAAAGGGACGCAAUCCCGCGAGGGGGAGCCAGUCCAAAAAACUCGUCUAAGUUCGGAUAGGAGUCUGCAAUUCGACUCCUUGAAGCUGAAAUCGCUAGUAAUCGCGUAUCAGAAUGACGCGGUGAAUACGUUCUCGGACCUUGUACACACCGCCCGUCACACCACGAAAAUCGUCUGUACCCGAAAUCAUUUUAGCUAACCGGAAACGGAGGCGGGUGAUGAAGGUACGGGGGGUGAUUGGGGUG